AGCGAACGCUGGCGGCAGGCUUAACACAUGCAAGUCGAACGCGCGUAGCAAUACGUGAGUGGCAGACGGGUGAGGAACACGUGGGAAUAUGCCCUUUGGUUCGGAAUAACUCAGGGAAACUUGAGCUAAUACCGGAUAUCUCCGAGAGGAGAAAGAUUUAUCGCCAAAGGAUUAGCCCGCGUCUGAUUAGCUAGUUGGUGAGGUAACGGCUCACCAAGGCGACGAUCAGUAGCUGGUCUGAGAGGAUGAUCAGCCACACUGGGACUGAGACACGGCCCAGACUCCUACGGGAGGCAGCAGUGGGGAAUAUUGGACAAUGGGCGCAAGCCUGAUCCAGCCAUGCCGCGUGAGUGAUGAAGGCCUUAGGGUUGUAAAGCUCUUUGUCCGGGAAGAUAAUGACUGUACCGGAAGAAUAAGCCCCGGCUAACUUCAUGCCAGCAGCCGCGGUAU
rnacentral:rRNA from 1 species